rnacentral:lncRNA from 1 species
UCAUCAUCAUGACAUUCCUCGACACGCUCAGGCAACCUAGGAGGUUGAGGAGGAACUUGAGUAGCAGUCAGUAUUAAAGCUGCUUCCAUUACCUCUUGGUUUCCCUUUUUUCUUGGCCAUAGCUGCACAACAAUAAAAAGUUAUAGUUAUUUCACAAUAUAAAUGUCAACAAAUCCAAUCAAAGUAAAGAACAAUCAGUGGACCUGUUGCUUUCCCUUUGCUCUUCCUCAUGUCUGCACAAUUAUAAUUUAUAAGUCUAAAAUUAGUUAUAUUAGCAUUCAUAAAUAUGCAUGUUGUAUUUUAAUCUUUCUCAGCCUCAUGCUCCUCUUCCUC